rnacentral:lncRNA from 1 species
CGUAUCAUGAUGCAGAGCUUGUCAUUCAUUUAUUGUUAUCUCUACCUCAAACUUCAUAUAUAUAUAUAUAUAUACACUUCCCCAUUUUUACAUGAAUACUUUCUUUCAUAUACAAGCUAAAUUAAAUUGUGAUGUUGUUUCCAUUCCUAUAUGUACAAAAAUAUAAUUUGGGUGUAGGAUAAUUAUAAAUUGAAAUAUAUUGUUCCCUGAUUAUCAGUGACCAUAAUAAUAGUAUGAUGUUAUGUGUAUGUUACUUUUCUGGCUGAUGAUAUGUUUGUGACCCCAUGAAAGUGAUGCAUAUUUAUGAAUAUAAUACAAAUAUAGAUUAGAUUAACAUCAUUAUUAAAAGAAUGAGAGAGUUCUCAAUUAGAAGGAUAAUAAAUGAAUAGCCAAGUCACCAAAAAGAUGCAAACAGUAUAGGGAUCAUGUGAGGAGAGAGUGUGUAAACAGGAUAAUAACAAUAGAAGAUGACUUUUCAAAAGAUAUGAGAAGGGGUUUAGAUCAGUGAUUAGCAACUCCGACCACCCACCGACAGUUAUGCAAGUCACUGCGUACCGGCUUAACUCUAAACAAAAACAAACAAACAAAUUAAUAAAAAAAUAUAUAUAAAAAAAAAAGAAAAAGAAAAAGAAGCAAUUAAUGGUUCGCAAUGCAUCUUUUUAAUUAUUUGUUAAAAGGGUGAUGAAAAUUAAACCCCAAGACUAGUUUUGUUUGGCAAAAUAGUGUUCUAAUGAUAUUAAAUUAGUACAAAUAAUUAUAUAAGUAUAUCUUUUGCAGGCCUAGGUAAAACAGAAAAAUUUAUAGUAGUAAUGCUUUUGAGACCACCCCACCUUGUGUAAGACAUGCUGGCAAACUUAAUUACCAGCUUUCAUAUGUGCAUAUAUGCCGGCCCUCGAGUCAGUCUUGGUUGGAAUGACAUUAAUUGAUGGCCAAUUAUAUGCACAGUAUUCACAGUACGUAGUUCACUAUGAGAAGACCAAAUGGGACUAUUCAGUUUGGAUUCAGACCAACAUUGAUUGGGACAAGUGAUCUACUCACACAUUGUUCAUAAAUGGUAACUGCAGGAGAUCAGUGGAGACCAAUUG